rnacentral:misc_RNA from 1 species
AAGUCGUAACAAGGUAACCGUAGGUGAACCUGCGGUUGGAUCAUUAACGAAAACAUCUUGAUCGGGCAUGGAUGCGUCUCUCCUCCUGGGGGGCGACACAUCCUCGUCUACAUCAACCAACCCCACUUUUAUUUUUUAUUUUUUCACAUUGUUUUUGAACUCGGAGGUCCGUCGACAUCCUUGCGAUGUGGGCGUUCCGACGUGUGAUACUGAAAGAACAAUAAAACAACUUUUGGCAACGGAUCUCUUGGCUCUC